rnacentral:lncRNA from 9 species
AUAGCCUGAUGCUGUCAAGCCCUCGAUCUGUCUGGAGAACUCUCUUUGUUCUGAUUUCCUGCUCUCCAGGCCAUCUCUGAUUAUUAUCUGACUUCCUUUAUUGUUCUGCCUACAGAAAUGGAUCUAUUACAAGAACGUUCAGUAUCCUGUUCUUUAUAAUGUUACUUAUUUUUUCUGAUUGUACAUGAACAAAAUGGCAUUUUGACCACUAUAUUAUUUGGCUUUCCCUGUAGGUUGACCAGCAGGAGAAGAAAGAGCUGGUUAUAUAAUAUAUGUGCUCCUAUUCCUGUGAGAGCUACUUCUUGUCAAUGAACAAUCUGGAAUUCUGUUUGGGGGGCUUAGUGGAUGUAAGCCUGCCCCUGAGGAGAUUAAUACACUUAGAAAGCGCUGGGGUUUGGAGCCUGGAAGGGGGAAGGCCUGACUCUGGAAUGUGGAAGAGUUCCCUUGCCAGAGGCAAGAUGAGAUUUGUGCCAAGAGAUGAGAAGAAUUUUCAUCCUGUUUGGAUUAUGCUGAGAUGCUUUUGGAAGACACAUAACAGAAGAAAACAAAGUGGGCUCCCUCAGAGGGUAUCUGGUGCCUGCCAUUUUCAUCAGAAAAAAGACCAGGAACACUCCACAGCAGCACCUGCCCCUCGCCCUUCAGAGAACAGAGAACAGGGGAGCAGUAACUUCCAAGUUCAAGGCAAAGAGGAGGAGCCCAGAUCACAGAGCGGACCGGCUGACUGGUGUGUUGCCGACACUUUGUGGCUUUUCUCAUUUUCACAAAAUGAGAACAAAAGGCCUGGUUUCCAAUGAGAUAACCAUUAAAAAUAAAAUAACACACAGGCA